CGGAGGGUGCAAGCGUUAUCCGGAUUCACUGGGUUUAAAGGGUGCGUAGGAGGGCAGGUAAGUCAGUGGUGAAAUCUCCAAGCUUAACUUGGAAACUGCCGUUGAUACUAUCUGUCUUGAAUAUUGUGGAGGUGAGCGGAAUAUGUCAUGUAGCGGUGAAAUGCUUAGAUAUGACAUAGAACACCAAUUGCGAAGGCAGCUCACUACACAAUCAUUGACUCUGAGGCACGAAAGCGUGGGGAUCAAACAGGAUUAGAUACCCUGGUAGUCCACGCCCUAAACUAUGGAUACUCGACAUACGCGAUAUACAGUGUGUGUCUGAGCGAAAGCAUUAAGUAUCCCAACCUGGGAAGUACGACCGCAAGGUUG
rnacentral:rRNA from 1 species